UACAGAGACUGCAAGCGUUGUUCGGAUUCAUUGGGCGUAAAGGGUGUGUAGGUGGCGCGCUAAGUCGGGUGUGAAAUUUCGGAGCUUAACUCCGAAACUGCAUUCGAUACUGGCGUGCUUGAGGACUGGAGAGGAGACUGGAAUUCAUGGUGUAGCAGUGAAAUGCGUAGAGAUCAUGAGGAAGACCAGUGGCGAAGGCGGGUCUCUGGACAGUUCCUGACACUGAGACACGAAGGCCAGGGGAGCAAACGGG
rnacentral:rRNA from 1 species